GUGUUUCUGCUCAAUGAUAUUUAAAUAGCCGCAGUACUCUGACUGUGCAAAGGUAGCGCAAUCAAUUGGCUCUUAAAUGGAGUCGUGUAUGAAAGAAUGUAUGGGGGUUUCCUUUACCAUUAGUAAUAAUAGAAAUUGCUUAGGGGUUGAAAAUUCCCUCAGUUAAAUAAUAGACGAGAAGACCCUUGAAAUUUGUGUAUUUGUUUUGUUGGGGCAACAUCGUAGUAUAAACCUACAUAAUGUAUAUGAAAUGUAUUUGUCUGAUUAAAUUACUCAAGGGAUAACAGCAUAAUUUUUAAAUGUUUGUGACCUCGAUGUUGGAUUAGGAAGCUGUAGCUUAGAAGGCUAACAGUAUUGCUCUGUUCGAGCA
rnacentral:rRNA from 1 species